AUUGAACGCUGGCGGCAUGCUUUACACAUGCAAGUCGAACGGUAACAGGUCUUCGGAUGCUGACGAGUGGCGAACGGGUGAGUAAUACAUCGGAACGUGCCUAGUAGUGGGGGAUAACUACUCGAAAGAGUAGCUAAUACCGCAUGAGAUCUACGGAUGAAAGCAGGGGACCUUCGGGCCUUGUGCUACUAGAGCGGCUGAUGGCAGAUUAGGUAGUUGGUGGGGUAAAGGCUUACCAAGCCUGCGAUCUGUAGCUGGUCUGAGAGGACGACCAGCCACACUGGGACGGAGACACGGCCCAGACACCUACGGGAGGCAGCAGUGGGGAAUUUUGGACAAGGGGCGAAAGCCUGAUCCAGCAAUGCCGCGUGCAGGAUGAAGGCCCUCGGGUUGUAAACUGCUUUUGUACGGAACGAAAAGCCUGGGGCUAAUAUCCCCGGGUCAUGACGGUACCGUAAGAAUAAGCACCGGCUAACUACGUGCCAGCCGCCGCCGUAA
rnacentral:rRNA from 1 species